GGAUUCUCUGGCGGGGAUUCUCUCGCGGAGGGGGACGCUCGCACACUCUCUGGAAAGGGGGAUUCUCUCUUCCGCUCUAGGUAACUGCUCGAUCGAGCUCUUCGAUGGCGGAUUUAAGAAAACCCUAGCCUUGGUCGAGGACGGGGGCUCUGGACAUCUCUCCCUCUUCUCAGCGAUCCGGUCCUCAAUCGAUUGUCGUUUCGAGCUUCCAUUCUUCGCACAGAAACCGAACUCGCGGUCGAUCUCGCACGUUCGGCGAUGUUCCUGGCCUCAAAGAUGAAGAGCUCGAAGCGGUCGUUGACCUCGCCAUGCUGAUGCUCUUCGCGCUCAGCAUAUUCCCAUCCCCGAUCGGUGACAGCCGCAGCAAAAUCUCCUCCGCCGGUCAGUACAGCCGUGGCUGUAACGGAACAGAAGAACGCUCAUCACUACCGAUCAGGACAAUCAGUGGAUCCAUCCGUUGCCAGAACUUAACUUCUCCAAAUCUGAUAAUCCUCGACGAUCCGAAGUUUCUGUUCGAACUUAUCAUCGCUGGUUCCAACCUCGUUCUUGGACGAUCGUAAAGCUCUUAUUCUUCGUCUGGAACUCUUGUUGCAACAUCCGUAUCACUGAUAAACCAGGUAAACUCAUUCCCCUCUCUCCUGCUCUGUUGCAAUGAAAUGUGUAGAAGAAUCAUGUUCACGUAGUUCAGGUGUAAUUCACUUAAGAUCUGAGCUGUAACUAGAUGACUUGUGAUGGUUCUGUGAUUUUAAUACUGAUUUUAGAAUGUUAGAUGAAAACAUUGCUUCAGUCCCAUUCCAUAGCUUGAGUUAAUCGUUUUGAUUGUAUGCGAAGUAUUUGACGAAAUACCUCAAAAGCAUGAACGAGAAAUAGAUCAUGAUAAUGUCAGAUCUGGAAACGUGUUGAUAUGAAAAAUUUCUUAGAAGUUGAUUUACCAAGUAUAUAGAUCUGAUACCACUCAUUUUGCCAUUGUUACUGAACCUAUGUUGUUUAUGGUGUUCUGUGUUCUGAAUGACCUUUUGUACAAAUGUCCUGACACGAGUUGGUUGCUGUGGUUUUCUGUGUUUGAUGCCUUCAUGAAAGUCGAAGAUGGUUUGAUUAGCUUUCUAACGAGCUAUAGCACGUCCCGAUCCGAUAUCAUUAGCUAUCUGAAAUCUUCUUCGAAAGUUAGGAGAUGAUUCUGGAAAACUGAUAUGCUGGAGCUGGUCCAUUCUGUGCAAAUGACUUGAUAUGAGCUGGUUUCUGUGGUUUUCUGUGUUCGAAGUCUUCAUAUAGGUUGAAGAUGGUUCGAUUAUCUUUCCAAUGAGCUAUAGAAUUCCAUAAUCUGACUUCAUUUAAUAUGAUUUUUGUCUGUCCAAAGUCUGGUCCAGAAUCUGCCAAAUGUUUGUCUCUCUGUUUCGGAUGACCUUCUGUGUAAAUCACUUGAUAUGAACUGGUAGAUGAUGUUAUUAGGACUUAAUGUCUUCUAGAUAAUUGUACUAGGCAUCUCAAGCUUUAAAAUGACAUAUUGCAUGCUUGAAUCGGCCAUCAUUUGCCCUGCCUGAUGCUUCUUGCAAAGAGCACUAAUCUGCUGAUGUGUUCUGCUUGUUAUGAUCUGAUCUGACCAUUUAUACAAAUGGCUUUGCUUGAGCUAGAAAAAGACUUAAAUUGCAAUUGUCACCUAGUAGGAAUUCGUAAAGGACACCUUAAGCUUUCUAACGAUGCCUAGUUUGUCCAAUUUGCCCAUCAUUUGCCCUGCUUUUCUUUUUUUUAGAUCAAGUUUUGAAGUCUGAAUUUGUCUUGACCUGCAGUGCUGUCUUGUCUCUAUGAAUCUGACUGUCUACCAAUUUUGUGUGAUCUUAUACAUAAUGAUCUUGAGGAUAAAUUCUCAAUGAAAGCUGUUCAUAAUGUCCAUAUCCAUCCUAUGCUAAAAUUUCAGAAUUUUUAAGGUCAAGUAACCUUAGGAUUCAUGAUGACAUGUAGCAAUUUAAAUUGUUAUGCAUUUUGCUUCUUAGUUCCAAGUCACUUUGCAAUGUUAAUGACUUGUGUGACUUCUUUGCAUUCUGAUUUAAGGUUAAAUGUUUACCCAAACCUUUUUCGCAUUCAACCUUAUGUCAUGUGCAAGUCUUGUUCAUGACUGAUGCCUAUGUCUAUUCGUUAUAAUAAUGAUUUCUAUGCGUUGUCUUAGUCACAUAAGAUGAGACAGGGGAUCCUUGUUUCUUAGAUUAGGUUUAGAUUAGGACCCUGGAGAUGGACUUUGCGUGAAGAUGGUGGAGGUCGAUGUCCACUCCGACCGUUAUCUUGUAAUGCUCAUUUUCCCGACAUAUGUCUCGGGUUCCAUUCGUUGUAUAAAACCCGACGAGUUGCGGGUUUGCUUUCUUUUCUUUUUAAUUGUUUUCUCUUUUAUAUUUUUUAGGACUGCCUGAUAGAUUUACUGUUUUUCCUUGAUUGCUUACUUAAUGUUUUGCAAUUUCAAUCUCA